AAAGAUUUUUGCUUGCUGUCAAACACACCAGUUAACUGAGGCUUUUAGAUCCCAACUCUGAACAAGGGUCUAUGUUAAACAUCAAAAUCCUUGGAGGAUCACCAGGAAGAACAUAAGGAGGAUACAAUACUUUGAUGUACUUUUGUGGGUGAUAGGGGGAACAACAGUCUGCUCUUUGAAGAGCAGAGAGACUUCACAGUCUGUAUUUGUAUUUAUUUUCCAGCAGGAUUUCCAAUGCACCCAAGACCAAAUGUCCACAUUCCUCCUCUGCCAAGAAGAUGCCACAGAGCUCUCCCUUGUCAUGCACCACCAGAAGGAAAAGCUGCUUUGCCACCAAGGUGAGGCCAUCAGAAACACCUGGGUGCAUCCCUGGGGUUUAAAAAGAUUCAGCUGGGUAUAAUCAGUCUCACCCGGGGCUG
rnacentral:lncRNA from 1 species